GCCUUUGAAACUUUUUUCCAAAUCCUUUCCAAAGUCUCCAUAUUAACACACUAGCUCUAGAGACCCAACAUGAAUGUAUCAAAGCAUCUUACUAAAAUGUCAAAUAUAAAUGGAUUAUUAUUUUAUUCUUUAUAUUCCUAUUUAUGCAUUUUAGUUUGCAUUUUUGCAAUUUCAGCUUUGUCCAGUGUUUAUAUUGUCCAAAAUAAUUAUUCUUAUUACUUGCUAUUUACAUAGAUGCUCUAAGUGAUAAAGAUGAUAAUUUAAGAUCAGUAAUUACCUUUAUUGCUAGCUUUUUGUAUCAUGUAACUAGCAAUUUAUAAAGUAAUGAUCUGGAAGAGUAUCUAAUUUGUACCCAAGGAUGUGGAUCACAUACUAGACUUGAAGAUCAGAAAACCUAGAUUCAUAUCCUGUCUUUGUUACUUCCCAGCUUACUUAAACUUUAAUUUCUUCAUCUGUAAAAUGGGUUUUAUAUUGUUUGUGGUUCUUACCUCACAGGCUUGAAAAGAAGACUAAAUGAAGUAAUAUUUUUAUAAAGUGCUUUCUAAGCAUCUGGUAUUAUAUGCCUGAUGCUGUUUGUUUUUAAUAACUUGAUAGAGAUGUGAAAGACUCUGAGAGCAGAAUAUGCCCAGGCAGAGCUCAAAAGGCAGAAUUUGUCUUCUGAUAUCUCUAAAUAGCCUCUUAUGUAGUCUUCAUAUUUUAAGUCUAAUAACUGUUGACAAUGUGUUGUAGCAUUCCUUAUGAUACAUUCUCCAUUAUAUCAAGUAAAUGGUUGAACUUGUGAAAGUUAACAAAGAGUUAUUAAUAGAUUAUAGGGUACUUAACAGUCUCUAUUCUUCAACUACAGAAAUUUCACUAGAGAUCUUUUUUUUAAACAAUUAUUUUCCCUUCAACUUCAUCUUCUUCUGCUCUAUACUUUUUCCACAUUGAUUCCCCAUUUUUUCUUUUAAAUAUUUUGAGCUAUUUGGAACUAACUUUAUUUUGACAUGAGAUUUUUGUCCUAAAGUAAAUGGUUAAAACCUCUUUGCAAAAAGAAUUAAUAAACUAAUAUUAUUUUUACCAUAGUUACUCCCACUCAAAGGGGACAAAAGUACUUCAAGAUACAUUGGUCUUAGAUGAUUAGUGCUUUCAUUGCUUUCAGAACAUACUUGACUACUUUUAAAAAGCCAAAAAAAACCCCAGCUAAUUUACAGACAUGCAGAAAUGAUCAUUGCCAUAGUCUAUGUUUGUCUGGAUCUAGUGGAAAUCCUUUCUUUUAUUCCUUGGUACUUUUCUGGAAUUUUAAAGAUGUAUUUCAUGACAUAACACAAGGUAUUUUUAAGGAAAGGCAGUACCUCUUAGAAGCAUGAAUAUCUUUUGCUUCACUAGCUGUCUAGAGUGUGGUAUGCAUUUUGUCAUGUAAUGGUGUUUGAUGAUAUAUGUAAAUUGUUGAGAUUUUGUCAGAGAUGUUAUCAGAAAAAUAAAGACAUCAUUCACUUGUAACUUUCAUAAAUUUAUUCCCAGCAGUCAAUCUUUUCAAGUAUUGUUUCUAAUCAAGAUAAUAUGCUUCACUUGGGAAUUGUUUAUAAUUAAAUGAUGCCACAUAUAGAUUCUUAGAGAUGUUUAAUUCUUAUUUAUGAUUGGUGGCAUAAGGAAGAAAAUGUUAUGAAUGGGUUAAUAUUUAGAAAUAAGAUAUUAUUUGUGAUUGAAUUGCACUAAUGAAAGCUUGUGGAUUGCAGACAAUGAAAAUGAUUAUUACUUUGAGAUGCCCAGUAGCAAAUGUUAGUGAUUUGUCAGUGGUAUGGGCAUAUGGAACAUAAACCCUUUCUUUCUAUUAAAGACACUGUCUUUGUACCAGCAUCUGUUUGUGUAAUUCCCCCCACCCUCCACCCUUACCCAGGGCAUAAAAAAAAAAAAAAUACAACAAAUUAGGUUUGCUACUCUUUAAUGCCUUUUUCCAUAACUGGCAUUGAAUGAAUGAUUUUAAAAUGUAGCACAAUUCUGGAGAAAACAGGUGGUGUGGUUGAUGCAAUUGACGUUGGCUAAAUACUAUGUGGCAUAGUGUCACCCUCUGACCAGUUGUUCAUUCAAUAAAAGCUUUUUGCAUAUUCUCACAAGAAGUAUGUUAUGUGUGUGGUUUUAAGUGUUGGCCUCCUCAGGCUUCGAUGCUUAGUUACUCAGCCCAGCUAUGGCAGCCUGUUGGAACAAAGGAGCAUUCAUUGAUGUCUGUGAGCACAGAAAGCCGAAUCAGUAAUAAAAGCUGAUGAAAACCUGAAUCAAAUUAUAACUUGUUCCUGGUGAAGAUAAUGAUUUACUUAACUAUAGGGAGACAGUAACAUUUCCUUCCUCACCAAGGAUUUGUAUUUAAUGUUUGUAGUGAAAGAUAUUUCUCUUACAUCCAUUCUCUCCUACAGGUUGUAAGGUAUAAACAUUCGACCACAUUAGAGUAAUUCAAAUUUGAAACCAUACCCUCAGUUACAGGAGUGAUGCUCCUACAAAAAUAAUUCCAUUAAGACCUGUUUGACCUCUUUAAUUUUUGCUUAAUAUUUUGAUGAUUUCAUAAUAGAUAAAAUGAUAUGCCAUCUUGAAAGUGUAUUGUAAUUGAAUUCACUUGAAAUUCACUUAUAAUUCACUUGAAAGUGAACUAUAAUUCACUAUAGCUGCUAAUAAAACUGUGUUGGAGUAAACUGUUAAGACC
ensembl:lncRNA